rnacentral:tRNA from 1 species
GCCGACUUAGCUCAGUAGGUAGAGCAACUGACUCGUAAUCAGUAGGUCACCAGUACGAUUCCGGUAGUCGGCACCA